rnacentral:lncRNA from 1 species
CCCUGAACCUAUCUUUUCUGAUGAUCGAUGCCAUAAGGGAAGCCUUGAAUAGAUCCAAGGCACUCUUGCCUUAUGGCAUGGUCCUCAUUGUGAUCUUUAGGAAGUCAGAAGUGAGUUUUGAGAGAGAAAUUGUCAGUAGACUAUCAUAUACUGACACCUACAACAACCACUCCCUUAAGUGCAUGGGUUUUGUGAGAGUUGAUGGCCGUUGGGUCAAGGAACGAGCAACAACAGUUGAAAAGGAGGAUGAUGAGGAGGAGCAUGUUGAGGGAGAGGGUCCAUCUUCAUCUGUGCCCAGAUCGAGUCCAGUUGAUCACCAUAUUUCGAAGCCUG